rnacentral:misc_RNA from 1 species
UACAGUGAGUUCUUCCUUUUUCACAACAGCCUUAUUUAUUGGAACAUUGAGCACAUCACAAAAAUCCACCAACUUUUCUUUAACACACUUGUCAAGCUUCUCCCUUACUUUUGCUUUUUGUUUUUCCUCAUUCUCAGCCCAAACAUAUCCCGAAAACUGGCCUAUGUUUUUCUUCAAAUUGUGUGCCUUUGCUUUCUUUCCAAAAAGUAUUGUGUGAAGCAUCUGCAGAUUGUCAUCAGGUUUUCUCUUGGACAACUUGAAAGCCACAUUUGGAAUAUCCUUGAGCUGUGUACCACGUCCCUUCUCAAUUGACAAGGGCUUGCUCGCUGAUCUCCCAGGCUCUGGUGCAGAGUACCUUUCCACAGUCUUCCUCUCCCUGGUAGGCCUAUCACUACUUGGAGUCACAGCCUCUCGCUUCUCUGUUGUUUCUUUAGUCCGUUUAUUCUUCCUGGACUCGUUCUGCUCUUUCUUCCCAGAGCCCCUUCGUCCACCUCGCUUACCUUUCCUGCUUUCUCCUUCUUCUUUGUGGUCCCCUGCAUCCUUUUCCUUCUCCUUCUCUUCCUCUUUUUCUUUCUCUUCAACUAGUUGCUCUCCAGGCUCUUCAUUUCCCUGAGAAACCUCCUUCGAAUUCCCUUCUUCCUCUUUCUUCUCAGCAUCCACCGGUUGAUCCUUUUCUUCUUGAGGUUUGGGCUCCUCUUUGUCCUCGACAGGAGCAUCCUCGUCUGAUUUCUUCUCCUCUAGGGUUUCACUGGCCAUGGGAGAGAACACAAAUCGAACAGAAAAAGGAACAAAAGAAUAUAAGAUAUUAAAACCCUAAGGUUGGGGGUUUAGGUGCA